UUACGGCCAUUCCUAUAUUGAAACAUUGGUUCCCGUAUGAUCACCUAAGUUAAGCAACGUCGAGCCUUGUUAGUACCUAGAUGGGAGACCGCU